rnacentral:rRNA from 1 species
AGUGAACGCUGGCGGUAGGCCUAACACAUGCAAGUCGAACGGCAGCACAGUAAGAGCUUGCUCUUACGGGUGGCGACUGGCGGACGGGUGAGGAAUACAUCGGAAUCUACUUUUUCGUGGGGGAUAACGUAGGGAAACUUACGCUAAUACCGCAUACGACCUACGGGUGAAAGCAAGGGAUCUUCGGACCUUGCGUGAUUGAAUGAGCCGAUGUCGGAUUAGCUAGUUGGCGGGGUAAAGGCCCACCAAGGCGACGAUCCGUAGCUGGUCUGAGAGGAUGAUCAGCCACACUGGAACUGAGACACGGUCCAGACUCCUACGGGAGGCAGCAGUGGGGAAUAUUGGACAAUGGGCGCAAGCCUGAUCCAGCCAUACCGCGUGGGUGAAGAAGGCCUUCGGGUUGUAAAGCCCUUUUGUUGGGAAAGAAAAGCAGCAGGUUAAUACCCCGCUGUUCUGACGGUACCCAAAGAAUAAGCACCGGCUAACUUCGUG